CCUGACGUGGUGUAGUGGUAGCACGCCCUUUGACACACGACGUAGUCCGCUGUUAAGCGGCGCGAAACCGUGCCUUCGGGGGUGGGAAGCCUGGGUUCGAUUCCUAGCGUCGGGA